ACUUUUGUUGACUUUUAGGGUUUGGUCAACUUUCAGGUCUUUCAGCCGUGAGAGGGGUAAAAUGAUCUUUUACCCUUCUGAGAGUACUAAGAGAGGGAAAAGUCUAGCCUUGAGAGAUGUAUUGAUUUAGAGUGUUUAUUUCAUAUGAUUAGGCAGAGGCUAGACCAGAUUUUUUUACAGAGUUCGAGAUUACCGAGUUACCCGAGGUGAGUCUUCUCACUAUACUUUAUCUUGAGUGGUGAUUAGAGUUAUGUGACAGGGUAUUUUUGCUAUGUAUGUUACAGAGUUUACAGAGUUAGGACCGGAAGGUCCACAGAGUUAGGGCCAGAGGGCUCACAAAGUUAUGGGACUGGAGGGUCCCACUGAGACUCAUUGACCAGAGGGUCAAACAGAGUUUUAGCCUCGAGUGGUUGUUAUGUGUUGAGUGUGGUAUUUUAGGGAACUCACUAAGUAUUUAUGCUGACAGUGUUGUGUUAUGUGUUUCAGGUACCAGUGAGGAUCGCAGCAAGGCGCCGGCUUGAUCAGUACACACACAAGGAGUUUUUUUUUUACAUAUUAUGAUCUUGGGAUGUGAUGUUUUGGAUUGUUGUGAUACAAUGAUACUUUUAUAACUAUUAUGAAUGAAAGUGUGAUUUUAAAUUGUGAAAAAGCAUUUGAAAAUUUUGGGUGUUACAAAAAAUCACAAAAAUAUUUUCUUUAUUUCUGUUUUAUCAUUUUCAGAAAAACUAAAAAUCACAAAAAUAUUUUUGUUAGUUAUGUUUUAUCUUUUUUAGAAAAAUCAAAAAUCAUAAAAUAUUUUCUUUAUUUUUGUUUUAUCUUUUUCAGAAAACCCAAAAUUACAAAAAUAUAUUUUUUGUGUUAUUGUCAGGAAACAUUUUUGCUUCAGGUACAAAUUAAUUCAGAACAAUGGGGCAGGUAUAUAAUUCUAAAUCUUAGUAUUAGCUAAGUGUCUCUAGAAGCAUGUUGUUGCAUGCUGACCCAAGCCUUGGAGACUCUAUGUUUGAAGCCUUAAUGAAACUUUCACUCCGGAUGUUUCCUCCCAAUCAAGCUAAUAUUACAUAAGUCAUUGAGCUACGUUACUCUUCGGAACCAUCUCUAAAAUUUCUCCAUCAACCUCACUUUCAUACAAUGUAACCCUUGAGACUCUUAGCAUUUACAACUGAGGUUUAUGGUUGGACAACAUUUGUGUUCAUGAUCUUUAAAUCGUUAUCACCACGAUUUAAGUGAAACCCAAAAUCUGAAACCUAUUUAUGAACCGACGAUGAACAAUUAAUAUGUUAUAGAUUAUUUCACCAAGGAAUUGACGCAUAUAACCUUUUUGGUUGGUACCUUAAAAUUUUGAAAUCUCAUAUAUUUUUUUUUGAGUGAUCUUUAUGAAAAACUCUCGACCCAAAACUUUUUUUCCCAAAAGAUCCAGUUUUUUUAAGAUUUUUAGAAAUAUCUUGCCAUUUAAAAUAGAUCCAAAGCUUACUUGUUAUUAUGGCUACACUGGUCAGACAAGUACUUCUUCCAGACUUUCAGACUUAUAUUAAGUUUCGGAAUUUGGUUGAAUCUAAAGUCACCCCAAAAGCCUACUUAAAAAGAAGCCUUUCACUAUUUCUUAAUAAAUAGAUGAUCGUAAUUCAACAAGAUGCCACACAAGCACUUCUGAAUCUCUCUUGAUUCUGAAGGAAGAGAUCAUUGCCCGAGAUCAAUCUAAAUUUCAUGUCAAUCAUUUUUUUGACAUCACUACAUCCCAAAAAUUUAUUUGAUUUAUUUAUUUUUCUUUGGUGCACUGAGAUAGUGCUUCAGACGACCGAGCAGAUACAGCAGGUUAGACAGAGUCGCCAGAAGAGUUACGCAGAUAGGCGUCGAUCCGAGCUUGAGUUUCAGGUUAGAGAUUUUGUACUCCUGAAAGUGUCUCCUCGGAAAGGAGUGAUUCGAUUCAGGAAAAGGGGCAAGUUGGGGCCCCGGUACAUUGGACCGUUCAGGGUGAUCGCGAUGGUGGGCAGGGUAACAUACCGAUUGGAGCUACCUGCGGAGUUGAGCUAGAUUCAUGAUACCUUCCACAUGUCUCAGCUGAGGAAGUGUAUAGACGACGAGUCGGCAGUGGUGCCAUUGGAGGAUAUCCAAGUGGAUGCGAGUCUGAAUUAUGUUGAGAGACCAAUCGGGAUCUUGGACCAGAAGGUCAAGGUUCUGAGGAACAAGGAGGUGCCUCUGGUUCAGGUCCAGUGGCAGCAUCAAAGGGGGUCCGAGCUGACUUGGGAGCCAGAGUCAGAGAUGCAGGAGCAGCAUCCGGAGACCGAAGUUGUUUUCAGCAUGAGACUUUGAGGGCGAAGUCUGGUUCUAGUGGGGGUGGGGGAAUUGUAACAUCCCGAAAUUCAGGUAAGCUAUUUAACCCUUCCAUUUUGUCAAGUUGUCAAGAGUAGUCCCUUGAGAGAGAGUUCUUGUAGCAAAUGAGUAUGUUGGGCGUAUUAGGGAGUACGUUGGGCGUACUGGGGAGUACGCUGCACGUACUCAUGCGCUUAAUUUGGACGCGGACUCGCCUGGGUACGCCCAGAUGCAAACCCUAAAUGUUUGGCUUGCACACUAUUUAAAGGAUGCUAAGGCUCAUUUCUCAGCCUCCAUAUCAGAGAGUGAAACCCUAAGAGAGAGCCUUUCAUCGUCCUUAGCUUGAGUGUGUGUGUGUGUGUGUUUGGAGCUAAAAGUGUCUUGGUGUGUUAGUGAAGUAGAAGGAGAAGAGCUUGUAGAGGCUAGGGCUUGAAGUGCAAGCUUGGAUCUAAGAUCUAUAGAGAAAGGAGAUUCAUCUAGAGGUAUAAAGUUCAAAACUUUCCUCUUUAUUUGCUUUGAUGAGUGCAUGGACCAUUUCUAGGGUUAAAAGUCCCAAAGGUGGAGACUUUAUGAGUGUAAUGUACUCCAUGGACCUAGAUCUAUCCUAUUUCAGUGAUAUUUGUGUUAUAGAUCCAUAAAGUUUCCAUCUUGGUCGUUGUUAUGAGGUCAUGAUUGAGUUAUGAGCUUUCUAGAGUUGGGAAAUGGAAUGUUGUGGGUGUUAGUGACUUGUCCAGCCAUGCAAAGGCUUAAAGUCACCAACUUUAUGGACUAAGAGGCUUAGAAAUGGUCAGAUCUAGAAGUUGGACGUGGGUCUUAACUGUUUAAGACCUCAAGAGCUUAGAGUCUGAAACUGGGAGUUACACAGGACGUAAUCCCAGUACGCGCGGCGUAAGGGGUCGCACACUCCGUUCCUGUGAGGACGCCGGGUACACCCAGCGUACAUUUUUGGUACGCGCAGCGUAAGCCGGAGAGUUGACUUUUGUUGACUUUUAGGGUUUGGUCAACUUUCAGGUCUUUCAGCCGUGAGAGGGGUAAAAUGAUCUUUUACCCUUCUGAGAGUACUAAGAGAGGGAAAAGUCUAGCCUUGAGAGAUGUAUUGAUUUAGAGUGUUUAUUUCAUAUGAUUAGGCAGAGGCUAGACCAGAUUUUUUUACAGAGUUCGAGAUUACCGAGUUACCCGAGGUGAGUCUUCUCACUAUACUUUAUCUUGAGUGGUGAUU
rnacentral:lncRNA from 1 species